GACGAACGCUGGCGGCGUGCUUAACACAUGCAAGUCGAACGGUGAAGCUCCAGCUUGCUGGAGUGGAUCAGUGGCGAACGGGUGAGUAACACGUGAGCAACCUGCCCCUGACUCUGGAAUAAGCGCUGGAAACGGCGUCUAAUACUGGAUACGAGAAGGGCCCGCAUGGGCACUUUCUGGCAAGUUUUUCGGUUGGGGAUGGGCUCGCGGCCUAUCAGCUUGCUGGUGAGGUAAUGGCUCACCAAGGCGACGACGGGUAGCCGGCCUGAGAGGGCGACCGGCCACACUGGGACUGAGACACGGCCCAGACUCCUACGGGAGGCAGCAGUGGGGAAUAUUGCACAAUGGGCGCAAGCCUGAUGCAGCGACGCCGCGUGAGUGAUGACGGCCUUCGGGUUGUAAACCUCUUUCAGCAGGGAAGAAGCGAAAGUGACGGUACCUGCAGAAGAAGCGCCGGCUAACUACGUG
rnacentral:rRNA from 1 species